UGCGCAUGCGCCCCCGCUCCCGGCUGGUAGGCGGCCCCUCGGCUGAGACCACGCUCCCGCCCCGCGAGGCCACGCCCCCCAGCUGCUGGCGGGAACCUGCAGGCCGGUCGCCUGCCGGGCUCCGUGCGAUGAGCCCCGCGGGGAGAAGCGUGUUCCGUCGGGCUGGGUGGUUAUGAGGCGUAACGUUACCCCAUAGCGCAGUUGGAGGAGCACCUCGGGUUUGGGAACAGGCUGCCUUCGUAUCGCAGAGGAAAGAAGUGCAGAGGGUUCAGCGUGAGUUGUGUGGUGAAGCCAAGCUGGAGGUACGGCAAAUAACGAUGAGAUUUAGCUGCGAUGAGUGGCAGCCGUCACAACACAGAGACAUCCCAGACAAGGCUGCGGAGCCCUGCAGUGACGGAAGUGAUCCUCUGUGCUAAGCCAGACACAGGGCUUGCUCAGCACGAAUAGCAAAACAACAGGGAGCUGCGAGCAUCCAAGCGCUGACAGGCGCUGACGGUCUGGAGUGCUAUCAAAACAUCUUGGCCGGAGCUCACAGCGAGCAAAAGAAGUGAAUCCCUACAGCGGGCCUGCUUCUAGCCGGGGGCACAGACAGACAGCUAUGGACGGAGCCACAGAAGGAGCUGAGCCCCAGCACGAGGCCUAAAGCCAUCCUUGCAUACAGCUGGGACUGAGGGCACACCGCCAGCACGGGCACGGCUGAACGCGCUCCAUGGACCUCAGCUCAUCAUGAAGCCCCUCGCUCUCCAUGCAAAGGGUAAGGAUGUGGCAUUACACAGCAAUUAGGAAACGCAGCAGAAAUGCAGAACUGGACAAAGGAGAGAUGAACGCACCCUUUGUGUGAGCUGCCGGGGAAGAAAUGAAAUGGUUUAGAUAAAAUAAAGGGCACGCACGCUAAUCUGUGUCAUUGGAAUUAUGUUGAGAAUUGGAAAGAGAGUUAAAAAUAGACUGAAUGCAGCACUGCUGAUAAGAGUUGAGAAAUUUGCCGUCGCUGAGCUGGAUGGAUAAUAGACAUCCUUACAAAAAAAAAAGUGCUAAUGACUAAAGAGAUUUAGAAGAGAACUGCGCAGGGCAGACAGACUGCUGCACAAGCUGUGUUCCAGCCUUGCCCCUGCCAGUGACCGGCGACUGCGUGCAGCCCCAGGCAGAGCACAAAGCAGCACAGAGCUGUCACAGCUUAUCUGUCUGCAGCGGGGAGCUGGCCAGCCCAAAUCUGAGCGCUGAUGCUCACGAGCACUCUGAGUGCCUGGGGAGGAUCAAAAGUACUUUGCAAAAAAGAAA